rnacentral:lncRNA from 1 species
UUGACUUAAUGAAACCUGGGUUCACUUUACAAUGCCACUUUACUCUUUCUCUGCCACUCAAGCAAAUCAAGCCCCUUCAUCGUCAUUGUAAUAACAAGUGCCCAAGGAAUCGGGUUUAUCAGGUACUUUUCUUUUCAAUUUCAUUAAUAAAGCUCAGUUUCACUUUCCUAAUUCCAUUUAAUUAAUAGUUUGCUCUUUCCACUAAUUCUUUUCAGGAGAUUUCGGGCUUUGUCCUAAUGUUCCCACUCAAAAUCGUUCCAGAUGGUCCCAUUGCAAAUUCAUUGCUUGGUAAGUGGGACAAUUCUUUAUUGUUUGUGGGGUUCAUAUGGUAUGACAUAAACCAAACUAAUAUUAAUUUUUUGUGGUGGGUCAUUGAAACCAAAAGAUGAUUUUCUUCUUUGAAAAUAUUUACACGGAAAAGUUGAUUUUGGAGAUUAUAUUUUAUUUUUAAUUUAAAUUAGUAAAUAUUACUAGUGAGAUGGAUAAUGAUUUCUUUUAAUUGAGUGGCGCAAUUUUAAUCUAUUAUUGGUGUUGUUGACAUGAUGAAAUAGGUAACUUCUAUUAACG